CAGCCGCCGCGGUAAUACCGGCGGCCCGAGUGGCGGUCACUCUUAUUGGGCUUAAAGCGUCCGUAGCCGGGUUGGGGAGUCCUCCGGGAAAUCUGGCCGCUUAACGGUCCGAAUGCCGGAGGAUACUCCCAGCCUAGGGAGCGGGAGAGGCCGAGGGUAUUCCCGGAGUAGGGGUGAAAUCCUAUAAUCCCGGGAGGACCCCCUGUGGCGAAGGCGCUCGGCUGGAACGCGUCCGACGGUGAGGGACGAAGGCCAGGGGAGCAAACCGGAUUAGAUACCCGGGUAGUCCUGGCUGUAAACGAUGCGGACUUUGUGUCGGACAAGCUAUGAGCUUGUCCGGUGCCGGAGGGAAACCGUUAAGUCCGCCGCCUGGGGAGUACGGCCGCAAGGCUGAAACUUAAAGGAAUUGGCGGG
rnacentral:rRNA from 1 species